AGUUACUGUGUGGUGGGUGAACUGGUGCAGAAUUGCUGCCGUCGCAUCAUCCAGGACAUCUAAGACAAGAAAAUCUGCAGUUGGACCAGCAGUGUCAUCAGGGAUUCCACUCCCCCCGCCCAUCAAAUCUUCACUCUCCUGAAGUCUAGCAGGCAAAAGGCAGACAUCGUCCUCCUGAAGUGAAAGGAGGAAGGAAACAGAUCUGGUCACAUGACACUCGUCACAUGAUGUUGCUCCAUCAGACAAACUCGUUUAAUCAGUGUCUGGACAGCUACAAAUUAAAGGCACGGUACACAUCAACUGGUUUUACUUUCAACUUGCCCCUCAAACCAAUGAGAACGACUUCCUACCAAAAAAAGACGUUCAUUUUGUCUUCUGCGAAAAAGAAAAAUUCAUGUUAUUAUUAUUAAUAAAUAAUAAUAGUAUAUGUAUUUUAUGUUUACUUUCAUGAAUUUCAUGCUUUCACUCAUUUGGAUUUCUCAUGGUUUCGCAGAGUUAGUGAGAACACAGCAGCUUGUGAUGGCUUCCCUUGGUGAAGAUGUUAAUUUGAAAUGUGAGCUUACAAAACAGAGAAAUGUGAAACAAGUGACCUGGCAGAGAGUGUCGGAGCAGAAGAGUGAAAACAUGGCAAUAUACAGUGAACGUUUUGGUGCGACUGUCACUUGGCCCUUCCGAAAAAAUGUCAAUUUCUUAGAAAUAGGGCUGCAGCAGUGUUCCAUAGUGAUUAGGAGAGUCCAGUGGAGUGAUGAAUCGUGUUACAAGUGUCUGUUUAAUCUCAUUCCUGAUGGAGACAUCAGUGGGAGGACCUGCCUCAAAAUCUAUGAACUACACAAGCCUAUAUUUGUAGUGAAACCUGUCAGUGGUGAGAGUAAGUUAUUGCUUACCUGCUCUGCCACCGGAAGACCUGCACCAGAGUUGUCCUGGGACAUUGAAGAUACUGCUCUGGAACAUUCCACAACAUAUAAUCAAAAUGGAACUAUAACUGUUAAUAAAACCGCUACAGCUCACGUAACCUCUAGACAUUUUGCAAAAACAACACAAAUCAAAUGUGCAGCACUGAAUCAAUAUGGAAAAAGGAACGAAAACUUCGUAACAAUACCAAAUGAUGAAAUGCUAUCAAAUAAAGCAUGUGCAGACAUCUGGUUUGUGGUCUCUGGUGUCCUGGGAAUCCUUUGUGUGAUGGGACUCGGUUUCUAUCUACAAAGGAAAAUAUGCAGCAGGAGAAAAAGUGCUUCUGGUGGGUCAACAUUGCAAGGGCACAACACACCAGAUUCUUGUCAAGAUCAAGUUGGAUUGCUUGAUGGAUCUUCAAUAAGGAGACGUGAAUCACGGUCUUUUUCUGUGCGAAUCACCCCACAAGAUAUUCCAGUGCAAAAAAAAUUGCGGAGUGGUCCUUCAAAGAGAAGACAAAGACGAUUCCUGGAUGGUUCUGAAGUAAACAGAAGACACACACUCCCACCUAGUCCUACUCAAAAGACAACUUCCGAACUUCCAUACAGUGAAAGCUCACAAGAUUUUCCAGUGCAAAAAAAGUAAGGCUUUAUCUUCAUGUUUCCUCUAUAUUUGACAGCAUGAAAUUUAGGUAUGUGGAAUAUUUUCAUGUGAGUGGAGAUAGAUAUUAUAAAACAAUUUGGAAGGAACAAGUACAAGACGCCCAUUCAGAUAUCUAGACUAGGAAAACAGUGGGGGUGUCAGUGCUUAGAAAGGGCUAGAAGAUCAUGUGGGGUCACACAUCAGUGUCUGGAUGUGUGUUCUGACAUCAUACAGGACGGAUUUGACUCAGUCACUUAAUAGCUCUGUCCCUGUCACCCCCAAUAUUGAAAACGCAGUGACACCCUUUUCUUUCAGAUUGCCAGAUCGUUCUUCAGUAAAGAGAAGACAAAGACAAUUAAUGGAUAGUUCUUCAGUAAAGAGGAGACACACAUUGUAUGUUUUUUUCCACAAUAAUCAUUGUUACUUUAAUUUUAUAUAUUUUCCAUCAAUACA